rnacentral:rRNA from 1 species
UACGAAGGGGCUAGCGUUGCUCGGAAUCACUGGGCGUAAAGCGCACGUAGGCGGCUUUUUAAGUCAGAGGUGAAAUCCUGGAGCUCAACUCCAGAACUGCCUUUGAUACUGGAGUGCUUGAGUCCGGGAGAGGUGGAGUGGAACUGCGAGUGUAGAGGUGAAAUUCGUAGAUAUUCGCAAGAACACCAGUGGCGAAGGCGGACUCACUGGCCCGGUACUGACGCUGAGGUG